GUGAGACUCCAGACUAGAAACACACUCAGGAUAUUAACAAUAUCUUUAUUGUAAGGUUACAUUGACAGAAUCUUGCGGGCUUGAAAUUAUAUUUCUCCACUCACUUGGAAGAAACUAGGAAGGCUCCCUUCUGAGCCCUUUGCCAUAUUCCAUUCAUUUUGCCGGCUCAUCUGCCUGUUACCUGACCAUUGCCAAGUCUGUGGCUCUUCCUCCUGCCUCCCAAAGUCAUUCCCACAUACCAUUACUUUGAGUGAGAACAAUGCAUAAACAUGUGGACAGAAGAACCAGAGACUCUAUGGUCUGGAGUAAUGAGAGGCUGAAGACAAAGGAUUAGGGUUAGUUGCUAAAGGGUUGGCCCAUAUUAUGACAAUCCGAGUUCCUCCCAUCCUCUCUUCAAAAUAAUUUUACAAUUCUAACAAUUCUUGGUUUAAUUGAUAUUUAACACCAUGUUUAAGGAAAAGAUUUUUGUCAGAAAAGGACAAAUUCUGUCCUUCACUUUGAGCUGUAGCAGUCCAGUCAUAUUGGCAGCAAUCUCUCACACUGACCACUAGCGAACUUUUACUGCACUACUAUUAAUCUUCUCAUCAUUCCCACCACCUUCCACUUAUGACUGUAUGACUGUAACUUUGUUGCUUGUAUACUUACGAAUUAUAUUGAUAUUGUUUCCUGAUUGCUUAUUUGUACCCUAUGACUAUCAUUAAAUAUUGUACG